AUUGAACGCUGGCGGCAGGCCUAACACAUGCAAGUCGAACGAGUGGCGGAUGGGUGAGUAAUGUCUGGGGAACUGCCUGAUGGAGGGGGAUAACUACUGGAAACGGUAGCUAAUACCGCAUACCAUCAGAUGUGCCCAGAUGGGAUUAGAUUGUUGGUGGGGUAACGGCUCACCAAGGCGACGAUCCCUAGCUGGUCUGAGAGGAUGAGCAGCCACACUGUGACGGAGACACGGACCAGACCCCGACGGGAGGCAGCAGUGGGGAAUAUUGCACAAUGGGCGCAAGCCUGAUGCAGCCAUGCCGCGUGUAUGAAGAAGGCCUUCGGGUUGUAAAGUACUUUCAGCGGGGAGGCGUUACCCUCAGAAGAAGCACCGGCUAACUCCGUGCCAGCAGCCGCGGUAAUAC
rnacentral:rRNA from 1 species